AAAAUGUUCUCACGAAAACAUUGAGCUAAGUGAGAUAUUAUGCGAGUGGGAUUACGGGAGCUUUCCAACUCCAUGUUUCCUUUCUAUGUCUCCAGUAGAUCUCAUCUUCAUCAACCUGCGUUUGAAAUUUGAAAGCAUCCUUAAGCAAAUAGUAAGUGGAUAAAUAGAGUAUGAACAACUCCUCGAUCUACCUACAAUAUAUGAGAGAAGUACAUGAAGAAAUCAUUAUGUAGUUUCUUUAACUAGCAAAAAGAGAUGCUUCUGAAUAUAACAAUCACACUCACUCUUGCAUUCACAAAUAAUUGAAUCAAACAUGUUCAACAAUAAAUGAGCUAGCCUUAUACAAAAUAUUGUUUUCUUAAGGAUCAGAAUUCUUUUUAAUAACAUAUUAACAAGUAAACAGUUGAUACGGCUCAAACACAGGUAGGAGAAAAAAAUAGAGACUACCAUUGAGUAAAUGAGAAGAAAUAUAUAUCCUGACGAAAAUUAUAAAUAAUAGGAGCAUAAACAAGUUCACAUUUCCUCGCUAGAAAUAAAGAGAAUAUAGCCACAAGACUUAAAAAGAGGAAUGUCAUGGAAGUUAUUCAUCCAAGUAAACAGCCCCAUUUUGAAAUGAACUUAAUGUAUCAUACAUAUAUUUAUUAUAAAUAGCAUCCUCAAAGUCAAAUACAAAAUUAAUCCUAAUAUUUACCAAGAACAAUGAGAACAUAUGCCCGAAUUUCCAAUAACAUUUAUGUAACAUUUAAGUAAUAAUAGUUAUUAUUAUUAGGGUAAGGCAGCAUAUCUACCCUCCACAAACCUCAAUGGUGGUGGGAGCCUCGUGCACUGGCCUGCACCUUUAUUGUUAUUAUUGUUAGCAUAAUCUGCAUAUAUGAAAAGAAUUAUAAACAACAACGAUAACCAAAUCCUCUUCCUUAAUUCCAACAAAAAUAUUACAUCUCACUCUCCAUAAUCAAACUACAAUACUAGAGAAAUCAUAAUGUAUACUACGAUAAACAAUAAGUUAGAAAGAAGUCAGUGUGAUAGGCCACAGCCAUUCUGAAUUUAUAGUAUGAAUAAAGAACUACUGUUGGCAUUUGCAUUAUCAAGGCAAUUAUGCUCAUAAAGCAUAGCAUAUGGCAUCCACUUCACAUUUAUGGUCAUACAGUUCAAGCAUACCAUACUGCUUUACAUUAUCAAUACACAUCUCUUAUUACAAUUGCAUUUAGAAACUUAAAUAUUCCAUCUAUAUUCUAAUAAAUGAAUAAAAAAUUCAUACUGCAAUUUGCAAUUCGGGUCAUCAAGGCAUAAUCCAUAUCCUAUGAACAAUUGUAUUUAGGGAAAUCAUGGCCACAAACAUACCAUACCAAUUUAUAAUAUGAAUAAAAAAAUUAAUACUAGAAUUACUCUUAAGAAACUAAACCAUUCCAUUUUAGGUUAUGAAUAGAGAAUGCAGAAUUCAUACUGUAACUUCGUAUAAGAUCAUCCAGUAAAUCAGGGUCUCAUUCAGAUUUCAAACUAUAGGCAACUAGGGUCAUUUGAUUUCAGAUUAGAUUCAGUUCUCCCAACCGUACCAACUUGUCAAGGAAGUAUAUGACAUAAAGUAUUUAACUUGAACGCUGUAAACUAAAGUAUUAGAAAAAAGGUAGAUAUAAAUUGAAGUAUUAGAAAAAAUGUAUUUGUAUGAAUUUUAUAUAUUAUUAUUGUAUCAUCUAUCAUUUGGAUUUAAUCAUACAGUACAUGGAUAUUACAUUCUUAACAUACUAGUCGUGAUUUGUGGAUGAAAGAAACAUGUGAAAUCUAAGUUUCAAAUAAAGAAGCUGGGAAAAAAAAUAUCCACACCUAACCUUGCUUAUAUCUCAAAGUAAAAAAUCACAUGCCUUCACAUCUAAUAUUGUAUCAAUUUCAAAGAAGCGGUUGGAACAAAACAAACACUUCACAUUCUAAUUUAUAGCAUCUCAAUUCUCAAGACAUAAUGUGAUUAUACUAACAAUUUCUUUUUCUCUCAUCACGGUAAGAGAGCACACGCCAAAUUACAGAAGCUGUAUGAAUUAUAUAAGUGUAAUUUUAUAUAUCCUAAUAAAAAAUAUGUUGAUAUAGUGAUAUAAGACCUUAAUGGAUCUUCAUGUAGACCAAAAGGUCAAUUGUUUAAUUCCUGAAUACAAUACUUAUUGGGAGGGACAACCAUACAUCCCAAAAGAGAUUAGUUACAUACUGACCCUUAAUUAUACCAAAACAUUAUAAAAAUUUGGUUUAUAAAUCCUCCUCAGAACGUAUAAAGAUGAUGCCUUAUAUAGACUAAUUUUGUUUUUGUAAGAGAGUAUGUUAUGUUUAUGUCAUUAUCAGUUGAAUAUAGGCUGUUAAGCUAAAUGUAUUAAUAUUUCUUAACGUAAAUGUACUAAUUUGAAAUCUAUAUGUAUGAGAGGUUAAUAGUUUGGGAGGCCUACAACAAAAUUAUAAAAAGGUAGUCGGCAAUUCUGAUGACACAUUUCAUUCAAGCUCAGACCACAGAAAUAGAGUCUGUUAUGACAUAAACAUUUGCAUUUCCCGGUUACCAUCGCCAGCUUCAUGCCGACCACAGAAAUAGAAAACACAGAAUUAACUGACAAAUAGGUUUUCUGUGUUCCCAUGCAGCUAACGAUAAAUUCCAUUUUCCUCUUUCCUAGAGUAGAGCUCAUAAAUGAUUAUAUAAUAUUUCACAUUCAUCCCAAUUCCCACAUGUGCGAAUAAGACAUGAAAUCUAACAAUCUAUAGAAAUCUAACCUGUGAUAGGUGCCAGGCAGAUAUCUGAAACUUUCCUACAAAAACAUCCAUGCGCUGCUAUUUUGCGGUUUUGCUUUCUUCAGUCACUUGUCCCCAUAUGAAGAAGAAGCCAGAUAUGAAUUCCAAUAAUAUGUUACAAUAUGCAUACAAAAUUAAU
rnacentral:lncRNA from 1 species